rnacentral:misc_RNA from 1 species
CAAGCGUAAGCUUUAUUUUCCGGGUCUUACUUUUGGCAUAGCCGCGUCUGCUCAUACCGGACCAAGAUGAAGGUUCCGAUCUUUGAAAAUUUUUUGGCUUUCAAUUUAAUAAAUCCAAAUGAAGUAAACCCUUUUGUUUUAUUUCAUGAUUCUCAAUCUCAUUCCCUGUUUUUAUAUCUCUCUAUUUUGUUUAGUUCAACAUUGCCAACCCCACCACGGGAUGCCAAAAGAAGCUGGAAAUAGACGAUGACCAAAAGCUGUAAGCUCUUAUUUUUAUUCUCGAAGUAUUUGUUUUUAUAUUUUCCUUGCAUGUUAAAUUUGUAUAAGCUUGUUGCAUGUUCUCAUAAUGAUCUUGAUUUUCACUUAGUUUAAGCUGCUAAUAUAAUGCCCUAAAUUAGGUAUAACAAAUUUUAGUGAUAAAUAUGAUGGACAGGUGGCCAAAGCCGAAGGGUUGUGAUAAUUUUGAAUAUUGAACUGCUAGCUUGUUUUUUAGGAAUUUUAGGUUGAGGUGGCCAAUGGUUUGCACGAAGGAGAUAUUUUAAGUAGUUGUGCCUUGGUUAGGAUGCGAGUCAAGUAAUCAAUGGAAUUGGGUAAACUGAUAUCUAGUCCAGCUUUUCUUUCUUAAGGCACAACGUAUAAAUGAGACUGUGAAAAGCUGUUUGCUUAAUGUGAAGUCAAUUUGGAUUUAAUGGAUUAAAUGUCUCAUUUUGCCUUAUCAUUAACAUAAGGGACGAUGAUAAUUAUGUUAAUGAUGGAAUUGAUGGGACGAUAUUUCUUGAUUUCGUAAGUCAUAAUACUGUCUUUAUGCCUGGCAGAAGUUCUGUGAAGGUAAAAUUUGUUAUUGUAAUCCAGAUAUGGAGAAUAUUUUGUUAACUGAUAUUGGUAGAGUUGAUUAAUGAAUCAGCUUAAGCAUUAUCUACAUUUUUUUGUUAAUAUCUUUGUUAGGUAUCUAUGUCAGCUCUGUUGUCAUGUUUGAUCGUCUAUUAGUCCCUAAACUACUUUCUAGUAUCACAUAUUACUAAGUGAUAAUCUAUGGAGAUCCCAGUUUUUCAACAACAUAUGAAAUUCUUCUCAUGGUAUCAUUACUUAAUCUUUAGCUGAUUCCUUACCCUUUACCCCCUUUGACUCUGUAGCCGUGCGUUUUUUGACAAGAGGAUCUCACAAGAGGUCAGCGGAGAUGCACUUGGGGAGGAAUUUAAGGGCUAUGUUUUCAAAAUCAUGGGAGGUUGUGACAAGCAGGGGUUCCCCAUGAAGCAGGGAGUGUUGACUCCUGGCCGUGUUCGUCUCUUGCUUCACAGAGGAACCCCUUGUUUCCGUGGAUAUGGAAGGCGCAAUGGAGAACGUAGGAGGAAGUCUGUGCGUGGAUGCAUUGUGAGCCCUGACCUCUCUGUUUUGAACUUGGUAAUCGUGAAGAAGGGAGAGAAUGAUUUGCCUGGACUGACUGAUACUGAGAAACCAAGAAUGAGGGGACCAAAGAGAGCAUCCAAGAUCCGCAAACUCUUUAAUCUCUCAAAGGAGGAUGAUGUUCGGAAGUAUGUGAACACUUACCGAAGAUCAUUCACAACAAAAUCUGGAAAGAAGGUGAGUAAGGCACCCAAAAUUCAGAGGCUGGUUACUCCAUUGACUUUGCAAAGGAAGCGAGCAAGAAUUGCUGACAAAAAGAAAAGAAUUGCCAAGGCAAAGGCAGAGGCUGCAGAGUACCAGAAGCUGCUUGCCACAAGGUUGAAGGAGCAGAGAGAACGACGAAGUGAGAGCUUAGCCAAGAAAAGGUCCAGGCUCUCUGCUGCUUCAAAGCCAUCUAUUGCAGCUUAGGCCCCUCCUCUAGGCUCUAAUCAUUGAGUUUUGGUAGCAAGAUGAAAUGUCACCGAGUUUUUCUUAUUUGAUUUUCAAUGUGUUGAAAUGUUUGAUUUCAUGGUUAUGAAAGUGCCUUAAAAACUUCUUACCCCAUUGAAUUUUAUGUUAUUAUGACCUUUCCAUAAUUUGAUGGAGUAUUAUUGAAUUUUGUUUCAAUGGUAA